AACAGCUUUCGAAUUUAUCGGGGAAUUUUCCUUUUCACAAGCUCAGGUCAUCGUACAGACGGACCAAAAGAUAUCUGCUCCUACAAGCAAUUGUGGGCCGGCCGGCCCUGAUGUUCUGAUAGAGAAAGCGGAUGCAUCAGCCUUCAAGAAGCGAGGAUUUCUUUUUGGUUGGCCUGUGGGCCUUAACGAAGAAUGUUGCGGGGAAUGGCCAUGUACGCAAGAAGAAAUAAACGAAGUUGGUGGGCAUGCGAUAACUCCUAAACAGUAUGCACGGAAGCAUUGCCCGCACGUUUUAGGAAAGCGUCAGCAGCCUUAGUUGGGCCUUGGUGAAAUUCCUUAGAAUGCCAGUAUAUGUUAAAGGCAUUUGCAAGGAGAUGCAUGUAUAUGAUAAAACCGACAGAAACUACAUAAUUAUGUUAAAGAAGAAAAGGAAUAAUAUAUAAUGAAAAUAAUAAGCUACGAAUAACUUAA